rnacentral:lncRNA from 1 species
GAGCUUGGAGCCGCAGGGCUUAAUCCCGCGCGGCUCAGAGAUGGGUUUCUGGACUCGCGAAGCAGCUGCAACAAGGCAUCACUCACUGUAUAAGUAUUUCCAUUUCUGAGAGCAAAAGGAAGAACUUAAGCGGGCGGCACUUGGAGUGUAAAUUGCUUUGUAGUAUUUAAAGGCAGAAUGGAUCCUGGGCAGCCGAGCUGCAACAAACCGGCAGGACUUCCUGUGAAAUCAUGACCACCAUGUGCUCUUUCAGCCUCUAUCAGUUCCUACCUCUAAGCACCUGAGAGCCAAAGCAAACCACAGGAAACCACAGACUCAAACUAAACGUCAGCUUUUCCCGGCUCUCAAGCCUGCUGGUCCCUGAACUAAAACUCACAUUAUCAACUCUACUGGUUCUUAGGCCUUUGGAGUCAGACUGGAACUACAGCAUUGACUCUUCCGGAACUCCAGCUUACUGACUACAGAUCUUGGAACUUUUCAGCUUCCACAACCAUAAUGAAAGCCAAGCAUAUUCCAUCAUUUCCUAAAACCAAGAUAGAGCACAUAUGGGAACUUGUGAAAUAAGGAUGCCCUGCGGUUGUUUUCAGGACUGAAGACAACAGCUCCACGAUGAAACCAAAGCACAAAGAGAGAAAGAAAAGAAAGAGAAAAAAGGAAGAAAGAAAAGAAAGAUGAAAGAAAGAAAGAGAAAGAAGAGAGAGGGAGAGAGAGAAAGAAAGAGAAGGAAAGAAAGAAGGAAGAAGAAAGAAAGAAAGAAAGAAAGAAAGAAAGAAAGAAAGAAAGAAAGAAAGAAAGAAAGAAAGAAAGAAAGAAAAAAGGAAGGAAGGAAAAGAAACACAUGGAAAGUGCUUCUUUGGACCUUUUAAGUUGCAUUAUCCCAUAAAAUGUGGUGGAUUCAAUGUUGUAUGGCCUGUAAAACUAAGUAAUGAAGGCUGAUAUGUACCCACCUGGCUCUGUCUUGGGAUCACACAACUUGGGAGCCAAAACAGUGAGACUUAUAAGAAUCUCAAGGAUGGUGUCCCAAGGCAAACUCAUGGCAAGAUCAAGAAAGAGAAUGGCCUGUCUUGACAAGAUUUGUGGUUUUGGCUUUCGUCUGAUGGAAUGAAUUGUACACAAAUACACAGAAAUCCCACAAAUAUUAAAAUAAUUGUAUCAACUUGUAAGAAAAAGGGAAAGAAAUAGCUUAAAAUGGAAUAUUGCUAAGCCCUCAAACCUUUACAAGCAGGAAAUAGGUGUAAACAGGCUUAGGAAAAUGGAAGGUGGACUCAGGGCAGAUUGAGGAGAUCUUGGAGUGCAGCAAAGAGCCAUAGAGAGCAAUUUCCAGGGAGUAGGACUGAACUCUAACCAAAUAAUUGGCAGCAUGUGCCUGGCAUUUCAGGAUUGACAUGGACCGGUGACUACUGUGUUCCUUCCCAUUCCCCACCCUUUUGUGUAGGAUUGUCUGUAGCAGUUUCCCAAUGCCUGUUCCUCCACUUGACGUUGGGUAUUUGGAGAACAAGAAAAAUUCUCUUUUUAGGUCAGAUGUGUGACAUGUAUCACAUUGUAAAAAAGAGUGCUCAAUGAGCUGUAUUUCAGGAAUUGCACUUAAGGGGAAUUAUUUUUACCUAUAUUGGAUUAAUAUGAUAAGAUUUUGAACUUUGAGCUUAUGUAAUUAUGAAGUGAGACCUUUAGUCUUGGGGAAUGACUGUAUUUUAUAUGCGAGAGGUAUAUAAAUCACUGUGGCCUGAAGAUAGACUGUGGCAGAUUGUAUUUUUCAAAGAUUUCCUGUCACACUUUUUUUUUAUUCUUUAUUUUUCUCUUUCUUUCUCUUUCCUCUUUCUCUUUCCCUUCCUCCCUUCCUUCCUUCUUUCCUUCCUUCCUUCCUUCCUUCCUUCCUUCCUUCCUUCCUUCCUUCCUUCUUUUCUUUCUUUCUUUCUGAGAGGGUCUCACUCUGUUUCCUGGCUAGAGUGGUGUCACAUUCAUAGCUCACUGUAGCUCAAACUCCUGAGUGCAAACAAUCCUCCUACAUCAGCCUCCCAAGUAGCUUGGACCACAGGUGUGCAUCCACUCCUGGCUAAUUUUUUAAUUUUAAUUUUUGUAGAGACGGGGUCUCACUUUGUUGCUCAGACUGAUCUUGAAUUCCUGGCUUCAAGAGAUCCUGCUGCCUCAACCUCUAAACUUGCUGGGAUUGCAGGUGUGAACCACCAUGCCCAGCUACUUUCUUUUUCUUACAAUAUGCCUUUGAUGCUCUUCCCAUCAAGAGGUAUUCCUUUCCCUUGAAUAUGGGCAAGGCUGUGAUUAUUAAUGCUAUAUGACUUUUGAGAGUAGGUCAUGAAGCAUGAUACAUUUUCCUAGUUCAUUUAGGAUGCUUGCUCUUAAUACCUAGCCCCUAUGCUUGUAUAAGUCCAAGAGACCUGUUGUGGGGAGGCUCACAUGAAGAAGAACGCAGGCACCUAGCCUACAGUCUGAUUGAGCUCUCAUCUGAUAACCCAUAAGAACUUGAGAGCCUUGUGAGUAAACCAUCUUGAAUCUUUCAGGACCCAGUUGAAACACUUCAGCUGAUGCUGCAUGGAUCAUUGCGGAUUUGUGAGCAAAAUAAAUUAAUAUAGCUUUUUGUUUUAAUUAAACAAUAUUUUUUGAGACAAGAUCUCAUUUUGUCACCCAGGUGGGAGUACAGUGGCACAUUCACAGAUCACUGUAGCCUCAAAUUCCUAAGCACAGGAGGUCCUCCCACCUCAGCCUCCCCAGUAGCUGAGACCACAGCAUGUGCCACUGUGUCUGGCUAAUUUUUUAUUUUUUUGUAGAAACGGAGUCUUGCUAUGUUGCCCAGGCUGGCCUCAUGUGAUCCACUUGCCUCAGUCUUCCAAAUUGUUGGGAUUACAAGUGUGAGGCACUGCACUGAGCCCAAUAUUCCUUUUUAAGCUACUAAGUUUUGGACUGAUUUGCUUCCCAGCAGUAUACGAUUGAUAAAACACAGAAUAUAGAAUAAAAUUAAUCUCUUAUGUUGUCCUAUGAGGCUUUGUGAGAUUUAGUUUCUACCAACACCCCAAAGUCAUGUCAUACCAUUUUUCACUGUGCUUACUUUGCUUCACUGACUUUUCUCCUGUUUUCUAAAACUAGCUAGUUCUUAUCUUCAGGCUUUGUCAUUGUCAUUCCCUGCUGAGAAUAUUGUCUGUCCAAAUCUUGUAAUUCAGACUCAAAAAUAGUCUGUGGCCACUCAAUCUAAAGUAACCCACCACAAACUCUAGCCCAUCUCCCUAUUUAUUUUCAUCAUGAUAUUUAUAUCUAUCUCAUCUAAAUUUUAUCUAUUUGUCAUCUAUCUAAUUGAAAUUUCAUGUUUCUUUACUACUAAUACGCAAGCUCUGUUAAGACAGAAGUAUUUAGUUUAAUUAGAUCCCAUUUGUCAAUUUUGGUUUUUGUUGCCAUUGCUCUUGGUGUUUUAGACAUGAAGUCUUUGCCCAUGCCUAUGUUCUGAAUGGUAUUGCCUAGGUUUUUGUCUAGGAUUUUUAUGGUUUUAGGUCUAACAUUUAAGUCUUUAAUCCAUCUUGAAUUAAUUUUUGUAUAAGGCGUAAGGAAGGGAUCCAGUUUCAGCUUUCUACAUAUGGCUAGUCAGUUUUCCCAGCACUAUUUCUUAAACAGGGAAUCCUUUCCCCGUUUCUUGUUUUUGUCAGGUUUGUCAAAGAUCAGAUAGUUGUAGAUAUGUGGCAUUAUUUCUGAGGGCUCUGUUCUAUUCCAUUGGCCUAUAUCUCUGUUAUAGGGACACUUUUACACUGUUGGUGGGACUGUAAACUAGUUCAACCACUGUAGAAGUCAGUGUGGCGAUUCCUCAGGGAUCUAGAACUAGAAAUACCAUUUGACCCAGCCAUCUCAUUACUGGGUACAUACCCAAAGGAUUAUAAACCAUGUUGCUAUAAAGACACAUGCACACGUAUGUUUAUUGUGGCACUAUUCAUAAUAGCAAAGACUUGGAACCAACCCAAAUGUCCAACAAUGAUAGACUGGAUUAAGAAAAUGUGGCACAUAUACACCAUGGAAUACUAUGCAGCCAUAAAAAAUGAUGAGUUCAUGUCCUUUGUAGAGACAUGGAUGAAGCUGGAAACCAUCAUUCUCAGCAAACUAUUGCAAGGACAAAAAACUGAACACCACAUGUUCUCACUUGUAGGUAGGAAUUGAACAAUGAGAACACAUGGACACAGGAAGGAGAACAUCACACACCGGGGCCUGUUGUGAGGUGGGGGGAGCGGGGAGGGAUAGCAUUUGGAGAUAUACCUAAUGUAAAUGACGAGUUAAUGGGUGCAGCACCCCAACAUGGCACAUGUAUACAUAUGUAACAAACCUGCACGUUGUGCACAUGUACCCUAGAACUUAAAGUAUAAUAAAAAAAAAAGAAAAAAAAGAAAGACAGAAGUAUUGUUCAUCUUGUUUUCUUCCCUAAUCACGUUACCUAGA